rnacentral:rRNA from 1 species
GGGUUGUGAGGUUAAGCGACCAAGCGUACACGGUGGAUGCCCUGGCAGUCAGAGGCGAUGAAGGACGUGCUAAUCUGCGAAAAGCGCCGGUAAGGUGAUAUGAACCGUUAUAACCGGCGAUGUCCGAAUGGGGAAACCCAGUGUGACUCGUCACACUAUCAUUAACUGAAUCCAUAGGUUAAUGAGGCGAACCGGGGGAACUGAAACAUCUAAGUACCCCGAGGAAAAGAAAUCAACCGAGAUUCCCCCAGUAGCGGCGAGCGAACGGGGAGGAGCCCAGAGCCUGAAUCAGCAUGUGUGUUAGUGGAAGCGUCUGGAAAGGCGCGCGAUACAGGGUGACAGCCCCGUACACAAAAGCGCAUAUGCUGUGAGCUCGAUGAGUAGGGCGGGACACGUGGUAUCCUGUCUGAAUAUGGGGGGACCAUCCUCCAAGGCUAAAUACUCCUGACUGACCGAUAGUGAACCAGUACCGUGAGGGAAAGGCGAAAAGAACCCCGGCGAGGGGAGUGAAACAGAACCUGAAACCGUGUACGUACAAGCAGUGGGAGCCUCUCUUUAUGGGGGGUGACUGCGUACCUUUUGUAUAAUGGGUCAGCGACUUAUAUUCUGUAGCAAGGUUAACCGCAUAGGGGAGCCGAAGGGAAACCGAGUCUUAAUUGGGCGUUAAGUUGCAGGGUAUAGACCCGAAACCCGGUGAUCUAGCCAUGGGCAGGUUGAAGGUUGGGUAACACUAACUGGAGGACCGAACCGACUAAUGUUGAAAAAUUAGCGGAUGACCUGUGGCUGGGGGUGAAAGGCCAAUCAAACCGGGAGAUAGCUGGUUCUCCCCGAAAGCUAUUUAGGUAGCGCCUCGUGAAUUCAUCUCCGGGGGUAGAGCACUGUUUCGGCUAGGGGGCCAUCCCGGCUUACCAACCCGAUGCAAACUGCGAAUACCGGAGAAUGUUAUCACGGGAGACACACGGCGGGUGCUAACGUCCGUCGUGAAGAGGGAAACAACCCAGACCGCCAGCUAAGGUCCCAAAGUCAUGGUUAAGUGGGAAACGAUGUGGGAAGGCCCAGACAGCCAGGAUGUUGGCUUAGAAGCAGCCAUCAUUUAAAGAAAGCGUAAUAGCUCACUGGUCGAGUCGGCCUGCGCGGAAGAUGUAACGGGGCUAAACCAUGCACCGAAGCUGCGGCAGCGACACUUUAGUGUUGUUGGGUAGGGGAGCGUUCUGUAAGCCGUUGAAGGUGUCCUGUGAGGGGUGCUGGAGGUAUCAGAAGUGCGAAUGCUGACAUAAGUAACGAUAAAGCGGGUGAAAAGCCCGCUCGCCGGAAGACCAAGGGUUCCUGUCCAACGUUAAUCGGGGCAGGGUGAGUCGACCCCUAAGGCGAGGCCGAAAGGCGUAGUCGAUGGGAAACGGGUUAAUAUUCCCGUACUUGGUGUUACUGCGAAGGGGGGACGGAGAAGGCUAUGUUGGCCGGGCGACGGUAGUCCCGGUUUAAGCGUGUAGGCUGGUUUUCCAGGCAAAUCCGGAAAAUCAAGGCUGAGGCGUGAUGACGAGGCACCACGGUGCUGAAGCAACAAAUGCCCUGCUUCCAGGAAAAGCCUCUAAGCAUCAGGUAACAUCAAAUCGUACCCCAAACCGACACAGGUGGUCAGGUAGAGAAUACCAAGGCGCUUGAGAGAACUCGGGUGAAGGAACUAGGCAAAAUGGUGCCGUAACUUCGGGAGAAGGCACGCUGACACGUAGGUGAAGUGAUUUACUCAUGGAGCUGAAGUCAGUCGAAGAUACCAGCUGGCUGCAACUGUUUAUUAAAAACACAGCACUGUGCAAACACGAAAGUGGACGUAUACGGUGUGACGCCUGCCCGGUGCCGGAAGGUUAAUUGAUGGGGUCAGCGCAAGCGAAGCUCCUGAUCGAAGCCCCGGUAAACGGCGGCCGUAACUAUAACGGUCCUAAGGUAGCGAAAUUCCUUGUCGGGUAAGUUCCGACCUGCACGAAUGGCGUAAUGAUGGCCAGGCUGUCUCCACCCGAGACUCAGUGAAAUUGAACUCGCUGUGAAGAUGCAGUGUACCCGCGGCAAGACGGAAAGACCCCGUGAACCUUUACUAUAGCUUGACACUGAACAUUGAGCCUUGAUGUGUAGGAUAGGUGGGAGGCUUUGAAGCGUGGACGCCAGUCUGCGUGGAGCCGACCUUGAAAUACCACCCUUUAAUGUUUGAUGUUCUAACGUGGACCCGUAAUCCGGGUUGCGGACAGUGUCUGGUGGGUAGUUUGACUGGGGCGGUCUCCUCCUAAAGAGUAACGGAGGAGCACGAAGGUUGGCUAAUCCUGGUCGGACAUCAGGAGGUUAGUGCAAUGGCAUAAGCCAGCUUGACUGCGAGCGUGACGGCGCGAGCAGGUGCGAAAGCAGGUCAUAGUGAUCCGGUGGUUCUGAAUGGAAGGGCCAUCGCUCAACGGAUAAAAGGUACUCCGGGGAUAACAGGCUGAUACCGCCCAAGAGUUCAUAUCGACGGCGGUGUUUGGCACCUCGAUGUCGGCUCAUCACAUCCUGGGGCUGAAGUAGGUCCCAAGGGUAUGGCUGUUCGCCAUUUAAAGUGGUACGCGAGCUGGGUUUAGAACGUCGUGAGACAGUUCGGUCCCUAUCUGCCGUGGGCGCUGGAAGACUGAGGGGGGCUGCUCCUAGUACGAGAGGACCGGAGUGGACGCAUCACUGGUGUUCGGGUUGUCAUGCCAAUGGCACUGCCCGGUAGCUAAAUGCGGAAAAGAUAAGUGCUGAAAGCAUCUAAGCACGAAACUUGCCCCGAGAUGAGUCUUCCCUGAGACUUUGAGUCUCCUGAAGGAACGUUAAAGACGAUGACGUUGAUAGGCCGGGUGUGUAAGCGCAGCGAUGCGUUGAGCUAACCGGUACUAAUGAACCGUGAGGCUUAACCUUACAACGCCGAAGCUGUU